CCUACGGGAGGCAGCAGUAGGGAAUCUUCCGCAAUGGACGAAAGUCUGACGGAGCAACGCCGCGUGAACGAAGAAGGCCUUCGGGUCGUAAAGUUCUGUUGUUAGGGAAGAACAAGUACCAGAGUAACUGCUGGUACCUUGACGGUACCUAACCAGAAAGCCACGGCUAACUACGUGCCAGCAGCCGCGGUAAUACGUAGGUGGCAAGCGUUGUCCGGAAUUAUUGGGCGUAAAGCGCGCGCAGGUGGUUCCUUAAGUCUGAUGUGAAAGCCCACGGCUCAACCGUGGAGGGUCAUUGGAAACUGGAGGACUUGAGUACAGAAGAGGAAAGCGGAAUUCCACGUGUAGCGGUGAAAUGCGUAGAGAUGUGGAGGAACACCAGUGGCGAAGGCGGCUUUCUGGUCUGUAACUGACGCUGAGGCGCGAAAGCGUGGGGAGCAAACAGGAUUAGAUACCCUGGUAGUCCACGCCGUAAACGAUGUGCACUAGGUGUUGGAGGUACUUAAUCCUCCAGUGCCGCAGCUAACGCAUUAAGUGCACCGCCUGGGGAAUACGGCCGCAAGGUUAAAACUCAAAGGAAUUGACGG
rnacentral:rRNA from 1 species